rnacentral:rRNA from 1 species
UACGGAGGAUCCAAGCGUUAUCCGGAUUUAUUGGGUUUAAAGGGUGCGUAGGCGGCUUUUUAAGUCAGGGGUGAAAACUUGCGGCUCAACCGUAAGCUUGCCUUUGAUACUGAGGAGCUUGAAUACACUUGAGGUAGGCGGAAUGUGACAAGUAGCGGUGAAAUGCAUAGAUAUAUCACAGAACACCAAUUGCGAAGGCAGCUUACUAAAGUGAGAUUGACGCUGAGGCACGAAAGCGUGGGGAUCAAACAGG